rnacentral:rRNA from 1 species
GACGAACGAUGGCGGGGGGAGGAACACAUGCAAGUCGAACGGAAAGGCCCUGCUUUUGUGGGGUGCUCGAGUGGCGAACGGGUGAGUAACACGUGAGUAACCUGCCCUUGACUUUGGGAUAACUUCAGGAAACUGGGGCUAAUACCGGAUAGGAGCUCCUGCUGAAUGGUGGGGGGUGGAAAGUUUCGGCGGUUGGGGAUGGACUCGCGGCUUAUCAGCUUGUUGGUGGGGUAGUGGCUUACCAAGGCUUUGACGGGUAGCCGGCCUGAGAGGGUGACCGGCCACAUUGGGACUGAGAUACGGCCCAGACUCCUACGGGAGGCAGCAGUGGGGAAUAUUGCACAAUGGGCGGAAGCCUGAUGCAGCAACGCCGCGUGCGGGAUGACGGCCUUCGGGUUGUAAACCGCUUUCGCCUGUGACGAAGCGUGAGUGACGGUAAUGGGUAAAGAAGCACCGGCUAACUACGUGC